UUUGAAUACCGGAGGUACUUACUCCUCGACAGGUCAAUAGUCGGUGGAUGGUUAAGAAUACUAAGCGUAUGUUAAGUACGUCGCCCCGAUUAGAUCCCACUCAAUGAGUGGGAUUUUUUUAUUAA
rnacentral:ncRNA from 12 species